GGAGGGAUCAUUAACGCUCUCUCUCUCAAUAAUAAUAUAGAGAGAAUAUAUAUAUCACAAUAUAUAUAUCUCUCUAUAUUAUUAUCAACAAAAGGGUCUGUGUGUUGUGUGUGUGUGUGUGUGUGCGCGCGCUUGUCGCGCGCGCAUGUGCACCCCAAUGCACAAGCCUGAACGCGUCUAUUAAAAAAAACGCUACUGUGUCAUGCGCGCGCGCCAACACCAACACACGUUGUUGUUGUUGUUGUUGUGCCACACACGACACAGAGUUGAAGUACUCCCACCACAUAAUGUGUGUGUGUGUUCUCUCUGUAGUACACACACACACACUAUGUAAAACCAAAAAUACACAUAUAUAAUACCAAAGCAGCGAUCAUAUAUCAAAAACACACCAAAGAGAGAGAGAGUGAUGAUGAUGAUGAUGAUGAUGAUGAUGUGUGCGCGCGUCGUCGUCGUCGUCGUCGUCUCACGAUCUCUCUCUCUCUCUCAUUGGGGUACACAUAUAUAUAAAAAAUUGAUAGUAUAUAACAACUCCUAACAACGGAUAUCUUGGUUCUCGCGAGGAUGAAGAACGCAGCGAAAUGCGAUACGUAGUGUGAAUCGCAGGGAUCAGUGAAUCAUCGAAUCUUUGAACGCAAGUUGCGCUCUCGUGGUUUAACCCCCCGGGAGCACGUUCGCUUGAGUGCCGCUUCUAUCCAUUAACAAGUCCCAUUAUAUAUAUGUAUGUAUGUAUAGCGGGGGAACGGGCUUUACCACACCACCACCACGUGUGUGGUGGUGUGGCAUGGUCUCAGAUUGUGUGGUGACGUGUGUGCGCUAGUGAUGGAUGAUGAUGAUGAUGAUGAUAUUAUUAUCAUCAUCAUCAUCAUCAUUAUUGACGCAUGCACGGUUGGAUGGGCACGUCUCGAAUUAUCGUGUGCGAGGCUCUCUCGUGUGCGUUGGUUUGGUUGGUUUGGUUGUGUGAGUGUUGUGAGUGAGUGUUGUCCCCCUCUGCCCCCCACUCGCGGUGGUGGUGUUGGGGUCCACGCGCGCGCGACCAUACACACAGUAUAGCGGUUUGUGUGUGCCCCCUUUUGUUGUUGUUUACACCUUCAGGAGGCGGCGCGUGCAAUUCAAUUAUGCUGGUGGUGGGCGCGUACACACACAUGAACACACAACUCUAUAUAUAAACACAAUACACACACACACACACAUGAGCAGCCGCGCAUGCAUUCCAAAGGUAAUAUAGAGACACUGACCAUGGCACCGCCUCUUUGUGGUGUGUUGUGUAAGUGUGUGUGUAUAUAUAUAUAUACACACACAUACAUAUACACCACAUUAUUAUUAUAUCCCGGCCUCAAGUCGAGCGACAGUACCCGCCGAAUUUAAGCAUAUUAAUAAGCGGAGGAAAAGAAACCAACAGGGAUUCCCUUAGUAGCGGCGAGCGAAGCGGGAGGAGCCCAAGCUCUGAAUCUGGGCGCGCGCCAAGUCCGUGCCCCGAAUUGUGGUCUCAUGGCAAGGCAUCGCUGAGCGCGGUCGCUGGUCGGGCAAAAGUCCCUUGGAAAAGGGCGCCAGGGAGGGUGACAGCCCCGUCCAUUGGUCCGGCAUCGCGGCCGUCUCGAUUGCGCUGUUGCACUUGCCCCAGAGUCGGGUUGUUUGGGAAUGCAGCCCUAAGCGGGUGGUAAAUCCCACCCAAGGCUAAAUAUUGUCAGCGAGAGACCGAUAGCGAACAAGUACCGUGAGGGAAAGAUGAAAAGGACUUUGAAAAGAGAGUCAAAAGUGCUUGAAAUUGUUAGGAGGGAAGCGAUCGGCGCCGGCGGUUCGUCUUUAGUUCGGGGCUGUUCAGUGGUGCCUGCUUGUCGGGAGGGCCGCAGCGGCGGGGAGUGCUCACGUGCCUCCGCUCUGUGUUCGUUCUGGCGCAAACCAUGCAUUCAGUCCCGGCGACGAGCCAGCAUCGGCUUCAUGUUUAGUGCGUGUGGCUGACGGGCGCUGGGGAUCAAAGGGCCUGGCGGGCCGGCUUCACAGCCGUGUCCCACCGGUGCGACCCAGCGUACCUGCCAUCGCAGGGGCCGAGGAACCAAUUAACCCAUGCCCGCAAGGGCGAGGCAGUGUGUCAUCGUGGCGGGCAUGCGUGUGGGGAUCGGGAACCGAUGCCUGUGUGCAUGCCUGUCGCUCUGUGGCACGCGUCCAUCUCUGGUGGGUUAGUGAUGCUGGCGGAACGGCGCUGAUCGACCCGUCUUGAAACACGGACCAAGGAGUCUAACACGUGCGCGAGUGUCCGGGUGGCAAACCUGGGCGCGGAGUGAAAGCAGAGGGCGGCAUUAGUGGUCGCCUGAGGUGGGAAGGGGCAUGCGUACUCGCGCGUGCUCCUGCACCACCGGCCGACCUGGAUUUUCUUGAAGGGUUUGAGCCAGAGCGUAUUUGUUGGGACCCGAAAGAUUGUGAACUAUGGGUGACCAGGACGAAGCCAGAGGAAACUCUGGUGGAGGUCCGAAGUGAUACUGACGUGCAAAUCGUUCAUCUGAGUUGCCUAUAGGGGCGAAAGACUAAUCGAACAAUCUAGUAGCUGGUUCCCUC
rnacentral:misc_RNA from 1 species